GAGAUGCAAUCCCUUCCACUAUGCCUGAGAACAUGGGGUCACACUCAGCAGUCACAACAUCUAGAAAUGUAUUGAUCCUACUAAAAUAGACGCUUACUGUUGUUUGCUUGGCUGCUGGUCCCGGAAGGAUUCCUAGGAGGAACUGACAAGUGGUGCUCUAAAGCCCAACCAACUCCAUUUUUUAAAGAAGAAGCUCCAGUUUGUACGAGGCCUGACUCCAAUUCCAGGAUGAAAGCCAUGAAGACCACUUGUGCGAACAUCAUACGGCAACUGCCCGGACUCCUGGACCCUACCCCUAGCAACGGCCAGUCAGGCUACACUGGCAGGGCCAAGGAAGCAGCUGGGGGUGGAGGUCGAGGGACAUUCUCUGGAACUUGUUAUUGAACAACAACAACAAAAAAGGCACAUGCCACAAAGAUCACUUCAAAUCAGCGCACCAGAUCCUGCUACUGCACUGACCAUGCUGGAACAAGGCUGACCCAUCCUUCUUAGAAGGAGAUACUGAGGAGACCAGGUCUGCACCACAAGAAGAUGAAAGGGCGACCCUUGAAAAUCAUGUCUGUGGAGUUUAUUUUAAACAGUUCAAACUUUUCUGGCUCUAAAACAUAGAGGUCAUAUUAAAAAUUAAAAAGUAGAAGUUCUAUUUACAUGGCAAUUCUUGCUCCUGUAUGGAACUGCAGAGGAAAGCAGUCUUGUG
rnacentral:lncRNA from 1 species